GCUGCGGGAGGCGAGGAUUGAGUGUUUCUUUGCGCCUUAAAACAGAGGCUACAAACAGUGCUGUGCAGGAGAGUCCCACAGAAAUCGCCUUCCUGAACUGUGCAUUUCCCCACCAUAAGGUAAGAGUUUGGGGCACAGCAGCCUCCUGCCGCACUCACAGAACAGGACGAGUGCAGCCGUACCACAAACACUGAGCAAGUGUCAUUAUUGCCUCCGCACCCAUUUCUGUGCCAGGCAGGUGUGAGGCCAGAGUAGGAAAGGAGGCUGCUGUCGGUGUCCUUAAGAGAUGUGAACACACUGACGCCUGCAACAGAGCAUACAAGUAGCGUGCUUUGUGGUAUUAUUUAUUUAGGAACUGUGAGUAACUACAGCCGUAGCGUUCUCAUCUUUGCAACUCUGAUGGUUUAACAAACAGGGAAAACAUCAGCGUAUUUUUAUUAAGGUACAAAAUACACCCCAUUGUUGCCUAAAACAUUUAAAAACGUGAGAAAAGCUCUGUAUGUUCUAAAUCAGAUUAAAAACCUUUCUGUAUAAGGAAUCGUGGCAAUACUGUGUUUAGUAUAACAAGAGUUCUUUAUCGAUUGAAAAGGAAAAGACAUGCUGGCAAUCUGAACUUAGCAACAAAGAGUAAAGCAGUUAAAAACCAUUGUGUCAUCCACAGUAGUUGAGCUUUGAAUGCAGAAGAGCAAAUCAUAUGAAACACAUACACAACUGGGUAAUAUCAAACAACCUAAGGCUGAUAUUGUACACACCUGUAAUAAA